rnacentral:sRNA from 1 species
AGUUCACAAUAUUACAAUCUGUCAAGUUGUCAUAUCUUCUUGUUUAAGGAAUUUGUCAAACCAGUCUGAUGAUUCUUUGAUCAUGAAACUCGUCGCUUCGUGUCCAACUCCAUCUUCUGCUUUGAACUGCUCUCUCGAAACAUCAAAAGUUUUUCUUUUUCAAUUCUCUAUCUGGUUGCAAUAGUGUUUAAAGGUUAGAUCAGUGAUUUAC